GACGAACGCUGGCGGCGUGCCUAAUACAUGCAAGUUGAGCGCUGAAGGUUGGUACUUGUACCAACUGGAUGAGCAGCGAACGGGUGAGUAACGCGUGGGGAAUCUGCCUUUGAGCGGGGGACAACAUUUGGAAACGAAUGCUAAUACCGCAUAAAAACUUUCAACACAAGUUUUAAGUUUGAAAGAUGCAAUUGCAUCACUCAAAGAUGAUCCCGCGUUGUAUUAGCUAGUUGGUGAGGUAAAGGCUCACCAAGGCGAUGAUACAUAGCCGACCUGAGAGGGUGAUCGGCCACAUUGGGACUGAGACACGGCCCAAACUCCUACGGGAGGCAGCAGUAGGGAAUCUUCGGCAAUGGACGAAAGUCUGACCGAGCAACGCCGCGUGAGUGAAGAAGGUUUUCGGAUCGUAAAACUCUGUUGGUAGAGAAGAACGUUGGUGAGAGUGGAAAGCUCAUCAAGUGACGGUAACUACCCAGAAAGGGACGGCUAACUACGUG
rnacentral:rRNA from 1 species